CGCAGCCUUGUCAAAUUCAGUGUGUCGUCCUCAGUGGGCUGUACUGGCCAAAGGGCUGCCACAGUGACGACCUAGUCCCUGGGCCCCAUGUUUUAGUAGAGUGGAUACUGGGGAUAAAUAACGACUAUGUACAACC